UCCUAUCUGGUUGAUCCUGCCAGUAGUGAUAUGCUUGUCUCAAAGAUUAAGCCAUGCAUGUCUGAGUACAGACCGAUUCUAAGGUGAAACCGCGAAUGGCUCAUUAAAUCAGUCAUAAUUCCUUGGAUAGUGAUAAACCUUCCUCGGAUAACUGUGGAAAAUCCAGAGCUAAUACGUGCGACUGAGUUCCGACCUCGGCGCGAGCCUUGGGAAGAACGCAUUUAUUAGAUUCAAAACUGACCGGCGUACUCCUUCGGGAUGCGCCGUUCGUCAAAAGUUUGAUGACUCCGGAUAACUUAGCCGAGCGCUACGGUCUUCAGUACCGGCGCCGUAUCUUUCAAGUGUCUGCCUUAUCAGCUUUCGAUUGUAGGUUAAACGCCUACAAUGGCUGUAACGGGUAACGGGGAAUCAGGGUUCGAUUCCGGAGAGGGAGCCUGAGAAACGGCUACCACAUCUAAGGAAGGCAGCAGGCACGCAAAUUACCCACUCCCAGCCCGGGGAGGUAGUGACGAAAAAUAACGAUGCGAGACUCUUCCGAGGCCUCGCAAUCGGAAUGAGUUCAUUUUAAAACUUUGGACGAGGAUCCAUUGGAGGGCAAGUCUGGUGCCAGCAGCCGCGGUAAUUCCAGCUCCAAUAGCGUAUAUUAAAGUUGCUGCGGUUAAAAAGCUCGUAGUUGGACUUCCUAGAUCCAUUAGGCGAUCGAGUCGCUCGUUGAGCUAGCGUCCGGCGUCAGUUAUCGGAUACGGCGAUUAGACUACCGAGGCCGCGUGGGAGUGUGUCGGGGUUCGCGCCUCUUCCUCUCUUUUCGCGUGUCACGAGCCUAUCCCGUUCCGGAGGACGGUCGGUCGUUGUCUUCGAGUAUAGCUCGUUCGCCCGUGGUACAAUUAAAAUUUUGUCGGCUCGCUCGGAGUGCUCUUUACCGAGUGUUCCAGGGUGGCCGACACGUUCACUUUGAAAAAAUUAGAGUGCUUAAAGCGGGUGGCUAUGUCGUCCGAAUGUCUGUGCAUGGAAUGAAGUAACAGGACCUCGAUUCUGUUUUUUUUGUCGGUUUUAUUGAACCGAGGUAAUGAUUAAAAGGGACAGACGGUGGCAUUAGUAUUGCGGCGCUAGAGGUGAAAUUCUUGGACCGCUGCAAGACUAACUACUGCGAAAGCAUUUGCCGAGAAUGUUUUCAUUAAUCAAGAACGAAAGUUAGAGGAUCGAAGGCGAUCAGAUACCGCCCUAGUUCUAACCCUAAACUAUGCUAACUAGCGAUCCGCCGGAGUCAUUCCCACGACCCGGCGGGAAGCCCCAGGGAAACCAAAGUUUUUGAGUUCCGGGGGAAGUAUGGUUGCAAAGCUGAAACUUAAAGGAAUUGACGGAAGGGCACCACCAGGAGUGGAGCCUGCGGCUUAAUUUGACUCAACACGGGAAACCUCACCAGGCCCGGACAUCAUAAGGAUUGACAGGUUGAGGGCUCUUUCUCGAUUUGAUGGGUGGUGGUGCAUGGCCGUUCUUAGUUGGUGGAGUGAUCUGUCUGGUUGAUUCCGAUAACGAACGAGACUCUACCCUACUAACUAGUCGGCGGAUCGUAACCCUGAGAUGGUUAGUUUGUAUAGGGCGGUAUGUCCGAGAUGUUCGCGCGCGCGAUUUUGUCGUCCUCGUUCGGCGUGGUCUUGGGUCGCGGAGAGAGUAUCAUGUAUUCUUCUCCCUUCUCUCGAUUUUCGUCGGCGGGUGGUGGCUUUCGCGUCGUUGUCGGGUGUCGAAGCUUCCGUCUGAUUACUGCUACUGCUGGGGGCGUCCGUCGCAAUGUAUCUUCUUAGAGGGAUCAGCGGCGUAUAGCCGCACGAGAAAGAGCAAUAACAGGUCUGUGAUGCCCUUAGAUGUUCUGGGCCGCACGCGCGCUACAAUGUAGAGAUCAGCGUGCUUUCCCCCUCCGAAAGGAACGGGUAACCCGUUGAAUCCCCUACCCGAUUGGGAUUGGGGAUUGCAAAUAUUUCCCAUAAACGAGGAAUUCCCAGUAAGCGCGAAUCAUUAAUUAGCGCUGAUUACGUCCCUGCCCUUUGUACACACCGCCCGUCGCUACUACCGAUUGAAUGAUUCAGUGAGGGCAUCGGACUGGCGCCUUCGGUUUAGUAACAUAGACCUUAGGCUGACGGAAAGAUGUCCGAACUUGAUCAUUUAGAGGAAGUAAAAGUCGUAACAAGGUUUCCGUAGGUGAACCUGCGGAAAGGA
rnacentral:rRNA from 1 species